rnacentral:precursor_RNA from 12 species
GGCUGCUGUUCAGAGUAGCAGGUGAUGGGCAGCAGAAAUGCCCCAGCUCCCAGUGGUAAUAGACAGGCGCUGGGGAAUUUCUGCCACCUGUCAGCUCUGCUUUCAGCGGCAGAAACU